rnacentral:rRNA from 1 species
GGGGAAUAUUGCACAAUGGGCGCAAGCCUGAUGCAGCGACGCCGCGUGGGGGAUGACGGCCUUCGGGUUGUAAACCUCUUUCAGUCACGACGAAGCGUAAGUGACGGUAGUGACAGAAGAAGCACCGGCCAACUACGUGCCAGCAGCCGCGGUAAUACGUAGGGUGCGAGCGUUGUCCGGAAUUACUGGGCGUAAAGAGCUCGUAGGUGGUUUGUCGCGUUGUCCGUGAAAACUCACAGCUUAACUGUGGGCGUGCGGGCGAUACGGGCAGACUGGAGUACUGCAGGGGAGACUGGAAUUCCUGGUGUAGCGGUGGAAUGCGCAGAUAUCAGGAGGAACACCGGUGGCGAAGGCGGGUCUCUGGGCAGUAACUGACGCUGAGGAGCGAAAGCGUGGGGAGCGAAC